CUCAUCCCAUUGGUUUCUCUAUCAAGCGACUCGAGACUCUCUGUGGCCCUCGGCAGCCCCAGACGGCGUCUCCCGAGCGAGGUCCGGCAGGAGACGCUCUGUUUCCGCAGACUUUUGUUUCCCAGGAGGCUGAGAGAGGUCUCGAGAACCGAGCUACAAAGUGAACCAUAGUUCCGGGACGCGGACGCUGCGGUCACCUACCGCUCUGGGCGCCGCCAUCUUGCCAGCUCUACACCACGUGUGUUCAAUGCCUUGGAGACCAGACGAGGACGCUGGAUCCCUGGAAUUGGAGUUGGCAGCCCCCGUGUGUGUGUGCUGAGAAUUGAACCCAGAUCUUCUGAAGGAGUAGUCAGUGCUCUUAACUGCCACUGAGACGUCUCUCCUCAGCGAUGAGGUAGAGGCAGAUUAGACUUGAGUAUAAGAGACUAUCUUUAGUUUGGAGUUCACAUCUAUACUUAUUAAGAGAGUUAUUACUUUUACAUAAAGUCUCUCAUGUAUGGUAUAUUUGCCAUGAACUUUUUUCAAUUAAAAGCGUAUAUUUAUCA